UGCCAGCCGCAGCGGUAAUAUGGAGGGGCUUAGCGUGGUUCGGAAUUACUGGGCGUAAAGCGCACGUAGGCGGACUGGAAAGUUGGGGGUGAAAUCCCAGGGCUCAACCUGGGAUGGUCAUUUAGAACUGGCAGACUAGAGUCUUGGAGAGGGGAGUGGAAUUCCAGGUGUAGCGGUGAAAUGCGUAGAUAUCUGGAGGAACAUCAGUGGCGAAGGCGGCUCCCUGGCCAAAGACUGACGCUCAUGUGCGAAAGUGUGGGUAGCGAACAGGAUUAGAUA
rnacentral:rRNA from 1 species